rnacentral:rRNA from 1 species
GUCCAGACUCCUACGGGAGGCAGCAGUAGGGAAUUUUGCGCAAUGGGGGAAACCCUGACGCAGCAACACCGCGUGAAUGUUAAGCCCUUCGGGGUGUAAAGUUCUGUCAAUAGGGACGAAUUUUGACUGUACCUAUAAAGGAAGCACCGGCUAACUCCGUGCCAGCAGCCGCGGUAAUACGUAGGGGGCAAGCGUUAUCCGGAUUCACUGGGUGUAAAGGGAGCGUAGACGGCGACGCAAGUCUGGAGUGAAAGCCCGGGGCCCAACCCCGGGACUGCUCUGGAAACUGCGGCGCUGGAGUACGGGAGGGGCAGGCGGAAUUCCUGGUGUAGCGGUGAAAUGCGUAGAUAUCAGGAGGAACACCGGCGGCGAAGGCGGCCUGCUGGACCGUGACUGACGUUGAGGCUCGAGAGCGUGGGGAGCAAACAGGAUUAGAUACCCCGGUAUG